CCUCCCAGGGAGGUGGGACCUUGCUUUAGGGAGCGCUCCCCUAAAAUCUCAGUGUCUGUAGACAACAGAUAAGAUGAGGAAGGCGGUCCCGUUGCCCGUGUAGUCCAGCUGCACCAGCUGGCAGGGCAGCUCCGGGUCGUCCAGGUACUUGAUGGCGCUCGACUGGAACAUCAUGGGCACCGUCACUACGCGAUCCGCGUUCACGUGGAAGUCCCCUUCCCUGGUGCUCUCCGGGUCAAAGGGCUGUGCCCACGUGCCUGGGGAGAAGAGGGGAGGCAGCUUUCAAGGAGAGGCCUCUGCAGGGGCACCAGGGCCCUUGGAAGAAUCGGGAGUACCUGUGAAGAAGAUGUAGUUGACCAGGAUGAGGCUGGCUGGGCCAUCCAGUUCCAUGAACAAGUCUGAGAUUUUCCCCUGGGUCUUAUUCUUGAUAUGCUCUUUGAUUUGUCUGUCAGUUCUGGCCCAGUCCUGGAAAUCUGUCUUUAAGGCCUCCAGCUCAUAGUAGCGCCUGGUAUCUGCCAAGAACAACUCCGGAAGCUCCAGGCUGUGGUCCAGGAACAAGGCGCUGCCCAUGGUCAUUUCCAAGCUAGUGUCUGACUCCCCAAGGAGGCGGUGGAGGUGUCGGAAGCUCUGAUGGAUUUCAGCCUCAGAUAUCUCACUGAGGUUGAAACCCAGACCCUGGAGGAUCUGGGCCCGCGUGUCGCCCCUGGCGCCCAGAGACAGCAUAGCCAAAACCAUCGAGAUGCUGACAGGCGAGAUGAAGACAUUCUUGCCAGGAGUGGAGGCCACGAGAUACUUAUACAGGCUGAAGGCAAAGUCCACAUUGUUAGGAGCCAGGUUCCGGUGAGGGCCCCUGGGGCUCACGUCAGCACUGGCAUCCUUGGCGUGGACAGUCCAGAGGCCCGUGGUCGACAGCCAGAGGAGACAGGUAUACGGAAGGAGCAGCAUUUUCCAGUGUUGCCAGGCCCUGCCGAAUCGGGAGUGCUUGUUAGCUGACGUGGCCGUGUGAAUGGCGGGGGCUGAAAAAGAUGUUCCAUACAGAGCGUGGGUGUGGCUCAUGGGCAGUUGUGUGGCAAAGAGUGUGACAGUUCAGUACAGAAUCACUAUUUGAUCUCAGAAUUCCACUUCUGAGUGUAUGCACAAACGAAUUCGUGAGGGGCUCAAGCAGAUGGACCUUGAUGUUCCUACCUAUAUGAUUCACAAUGGCCAAAAGAAAUGGAAACAGUCCAAAUGUCCACCAGAGGGUGGACAGGAGAAAUGAGGUUGUGAAAGGAGAACAUGCCUUUGUUUCUCCUUUACUCGCACCUCGCUGCCACGCUUUGACACUAGACGUGUGGAUUUUCUACACAGCCAACAAUUUUCUGGCACCUGCUGGGCGUCCUACGCUGAACUCAGUUCCGACAUCUUCGUCCGGAGAGGGCAUUAUGCCCCAUGAGCCAAGCGCUCUGUCCCACUGCUCUCUCCACUUCACCCACCAAUUGCAAGUCCCCCGGUGUCACCCAUAUUUCCCAUGGGCUAGAAAUCAAGGUCCCCGCAACCCUCUCCCUGGGUUUGGAAUUUGCUAGAAUGGUUCGCAGAACUCAGGGAACACUGAGCUUACCAGCUUACUCGAAAGGAGAUGACUAACGAUUUGAACGAGCAGUCACAUGCAGAGACUCACAGGGUGAGGACCAGAGGGGUCCCCAGGGCAGGAGCUUCUGUCCUGUGUGGUUGAUGUGCACCCCUUCUUGCCGGGGGAUGUGUGGACUAACACGGCAGCUCCUUGAACCCCUGUGCUUUGGGGACUUUUAUACCUUCAUCCCAUUUCACCUGAGCAUGAUUGAUGAUUAACUCAGUCUCCAGGCCUCUCCCCUACCCCGGGCACAGGGAAUGGGGCCCAGAGGGGCAGCUUCUGUUCUUUCUGGUGACCUGCCCCUGCCUGAAGUGAUCCAGGAGAUACCCAGGGGCUCUUCCUGAGAACAAGAGACAUUAUUAUCACCCGUAAAUCUCAAGGGACUUAGGGAUUCUGUCAGGAACUGGGGUCAAAGACCAAACAUUGGCACAAAAGAUGCUGCCAGGGCAUUGCCACUUAGGGAAUCGCAAGGAUUUCAGGCUCUCUGUGUCGGAAACCAGGGCAGAGACCAA